rnacentral:tRNA from 1 species
GGUGAUGUAGCCAAGUAGUAAGGCGACGGUCUGCAAAACCGUUAUGCGUGGGUGCGAUUCCCACCAUCACCU